rnacentral:tRNA from 1 species
GGUCCCGUAGUGUAGCGGUUAACACCCUGGAUUUUUGAAUCCAGUAACGCGAGUUCGAAUCUCGCCGGGACCU